rnacentral:rRNA from 1 species
CGUAAUCACUUGUCUUUUAAAUAAAGACUAGUAUGAAUGGCAUCACGAGAGUUCAACUGUCUCCCGCACCCAAUCAGUGAAACUGAUCUCCCCGUGCAGAAGCGGGGAUAAAACCAUAAGACGAGAAGACCCCAUGGAGCUUUAAACUAAAGGCACUAGCCCCUAAUUCACCCCUUAGGGUAAAACAUUUUAACCGGCUAAAGUGACCUGUCGUUUUCGGUUGGGGCGACCACGGAGAAAAACAAAUCCUCCGAGAUGAAAGGGACAACCCUUAGCCAAGACCAACAAUUCUAAGCAAUAGAACGUCUAACACACUGAUCCAAUCAGAUUGAUCAACGAACCAAGUUACCCUGGGGAUAACAGCGCAAUCUAUUUUCAGAGUUCAUAUCGACAAAUAGGUUUACGACCUCGAUGUUGGAUCAGGGCCCCCUAGCGGUG